AACGAACGCUGGCGGCAGGCUUAACACAUGCAAGUCGAACGCAUCGCAAGAUGAGUGGCAGACGGGUGAGUAACGCGUGGGAACAUACCCUUUUCUACGGAAUAGCUCUGGGAAACUGGAAUUAAUACCGUAUACGCCCUACGGGGGAAAGAUUUAUCGGGGAAGGAUUGGCCCGCGUUGGAUUAGCUAGUUGGUGGGGUAAAGGCCUACCAAGGCGACGAUCCAUAGCUGGUCUGAGAGGAUGAUCAGCCACAUUGGGACUGAGACACGGCCCAAACUCCUACGGGAGGCAGCAGUGGGGAAUAUUGGACAAUGGGCGCAAGCCUGAUCCAGCCAUGCCGCGUGAGUGAUGAAGGCCUUAGGGUUGUAAAAUUCUUUUACCAGGGACGAUAAUGACGGUACCUGGAGAAAAAGCCCCGGCUAACUUCGUGCCAGCAGCCGCCGUAAAAC
rnacentral:rRNA from 1 species